UUAACUCAAAAGGCAUUGAUCAGAAUGGAUGGGUUGCCAUUGUGAAAACAUAUACUUUCUUUUAUGUAUACUGAUUACUGCCUUUGUAAUCAGGUGGCUAGCAAUGUCAGCAAGGUGUGAGCAUGUGCACUGUUGGCAAGUGUAGACUGGAGCUCAACUCCAGGAGCCCAGCUCUCAGCGUGUCAUCUUCUUUGAUGCUCGUGAACUGACCUCACACUCUGGUGGAGUUUUCCUUAGAUGCACUGUGGUGGUGAGGGGGAGCAGAAGUCAGUUCGCUAUUCUAAAAAAAUACCGCUCCUUACUGGAGACCCUGCAAGGCCAUGGGUGGAAGUACAUGCAGAAACCUGAGAAUAAUUCCCCAUUGGGACUGGUGUAUAAAGAAGGCAGCAAGGAAGGACAGUGGUGACCUGACUUCUUCAGACACUGUAGAAGAACAUUCAAGGAUGAAAACUUUUGCAUCAAGUGGAAAACCAAGGAUAGGAAGGCAUACAAAGUCAUUGAACAGUGAUGGAGAUCUGCUUUGCUGUGGGAAAUUCACUCAUUUGAAGCAAACAAAGUAAGAUGAGUAGCUUAACUGCCUG